rnacentral:rRNA from 1 species
AUACGGAGGAUCCGAGCGUUAUCCGGAUUUAUUGGGUUUAAAGGGUGCGCAGGCGGCCAUUUAAGUCAGCGGUUAAAUCGUGGGGCUCAACCCCAUCUGCCGUUGAUACUGGGUGGCUUGAUUGCGGUCGAGGUUGGCGGAAUUCGUUGUGUAGCGGUGAAAUGCAUAGAUAUGACGAAGAACACCGAUUGCGUAGGCAGCUGACCAGACCGCAAAUGACGCUCAUGCACGAAAGUGCGGGGAUCGAACAGGAUUAGAUACCCUGGUAGUCCGCACAGUAAACGAUGAAUACUUGUUUUCGGCGAUAUAAUGUCGGAGGCAAAGCGAAAGCGAUAAGUAUUCCACCUGGGGAGUACGCCGGCAACGGUGAAACUCAAAUGAAUUGGCGGGG